rnacentral:lncRNA from 1 species
AGACCAACCAACAUGGUAUUUGUCAUUCUUAAAUUUUACCCUGAUGACUUGAAUAACUGGGUUUUCAACUUGAUUGCUUUUUUUAUACUUUCAUCUUUAUUUUGAGUGUAUAGCCCAGUCAGUGCUCUUGAAGUGUUUGUUAAAUUUACCUCAGAUAAGUAUACAGACCAGUUUUCAGAAUGUUAGGAUGUAAUGAAAUUAACCCAGCUGUGUAAUUGUUUGGAAUCUAGUUGGAUGGUCCCAUAAUGAUGUAGAAUGUGUUUUAGGACUUGGCGGUUCUGUAUGGUCACUUAGAAUGUUAGUGGUUAUAUUGAAAAGUGUAGAGUCGAAAAUGUGCAGUUGAAGAUGGAGUCAUAAUUUCAUUUCUAUUUUAGCAAGUUACUAGUGGUAUCAGGUUGGAGCCUAUUAUAUAUAUUGCCCGUAUCAAUCUUCCUGCUUCUAAGACGUAUAUAAUGGCAAAGUGACCCAAAUUUAAAAGGA